rnacentral:rRNA from 1 species
AGUGAACGCUGGCGGUAGGCCUAACACAUGCAAGUCGAACGGCAGCACAGUAAGAGCUUGCUCUUACGGGUGGCGAGUGGCGGACGGGUGAGGAAUACAUCGGAAUCUACUUUUUCGUGGGGGAUAACGUAGGGAAACUUACGCAAAUACCGCAUACGACCUACGGGUGAAAGCAGGGGAUCUUCGGACCUUGCGCGAUUGAAUGAGCCGAUGUCGGAUUAGCUAGUUGGCGGGGUAAAGGCCCACCAAGGCGACGAUCCGUAGCUGGUCUGAGAGGAUGAUCAGCCACACUGGAACUGAGACACGGUCCAGACUCCUACGGGAGGCAGCAGUGGGGAAUAUUGGACAAUGGGCGCAAGCCUGAUCCAGCCAUACCGCGUGGGUGAAGAAGGCCUUCGGGUUGUAAAGCCCUUUUGUUGGGAAAGAAAAGCAGCAGGUUAAUACCCCGCUGUUCUGACGGUACCCAAAGAAUAAGCACCGGCUAACUUCGUG